rnacentral:lncRNA from 1 species
AACCAAUUCAUGUUAUGCAUUUUCAUACAGCUAACAAUUCUUAGAGAUGAUGUAUGCCUCUAAACACUCCUUAGACGCUGGAUGAUGCAAUGCACAGUACAACAAUCAUCCUAUUUAAAAGUGCUCCACACACGGAAGCUUUUGUUUUUAAAAUCUAAUUCAUUCAUACAUGAAAAUCAUUCAAAAAUCUUUUGAAAACUGUUUCCCACACAGAAACUCUAUUUUGAAAACCGACUACCUCGAGGGGUAGAAAACCACGAUGCGUAAAUCCAUAAAUACAAAUCCGAGAACCACAAAGUAUACAAACAUCCCAAAACUGAAGAUCCAUAAACCAAAUCCACAAUUCUACAAAUCCACAAAUUCAACCAGCUCACAACAUUCAAACAUCAAGUAUGAUCAUCUAACUGAACCAUAUAAACUAACUAAGCUAUAACAACAGAAUAGUAAGGAUAAAAACUAAAUCGAUAACCUGGGUCGGAAGCUCUAUCGACCGCUACGAACGUACCUCACGUCUCGUCCCAAAACUGAUCGCCUGCAAUACCUGAAAAAUGGUGGGGAAGGUGAGAACAUGUAAACAUGUCUCCCCUCCCAGUGGGUACCGCAAGCCGAUGAAGGCGAGGAGUACUCACCGGAUCGGGAAGAGCUAAACAACAGUACGGGUCAGUAGAAAAUACAGUAGCAAUAAUAAUGAAUGAAAGA